AUGUCCAACUGUCCUGGCAAUUACUUCCAGUGUCAUAACUUCGGCAGCUGUCUAGCCCGCAGUGACGUCUGUGAUAACCAGCAAGACUGUACUGAUGGAAGUGAUGAAUGGUUUUGCUCUAGUGACCCACCAGAUGAAGUAGUCCUUAACACAGGAGAGUGUUUCAACCUGACAUCACCUUCAUAUCCAAACGACUACUCUAACAAUCUAAACUAUAUCUGGACUAUAAAUGGAGCAGUUGGGGACUCUGGUAUACGCAUGAAAUUUGAUGUCUUCUCUUUAGAAUCGGGCUAUGAUUUCUUGGAUAUCGGGGUUGGUACUUUUGAUGGACAUUACCUUUACCAUUUCACUGGGACGUACUCUAUUAAAAAUCAUGGCAUUGCGGAGUUUGCUGUGGGGGCCUCUAAAUCACUUUCAGACACUAUUCGAGAAUCAGAGUCAGAUGGUCGGAAGAAGCGAUCAGUUACUUCUGAUUUCUGCAAUGCCUCCACAUCUUACUACGAUUACGGAAGUUUCCCCAAUGUUAUCCAUCUAAACAGUACAAAGAUGUGGCUACGAAUGACAACAGAUGGAAGCUAUGUCUAUAAAGGCUUUGUCUUGCAGCUCAUUUCUACAAGAUUUGAAAGUGAAUCCUUUGAGUGUUCAGAUUUGUCGGUUCUUCCAGCAGAUAAAAAGUGCGAUCACAUAGCAGACUGCCCAUUUAACGACGAUGAACACGAGUGUGACAUUGACCAAGGUUUGUAA